rnacentral:rRNA from 1 species
GAUGAACGCUGGCGGCGUGCCUAAUACAUGCAAGUCGAGCGAACAGAUAAGGAGCUUGCGCCUUUGACGUUAGCGGCGGACGGGUGAGUAACACGUGGGUAACCUACCUAUAAGACUGGGAUAACUUCGGGAAACCGGAGCUAAUACCGGAUAACAUGUGGAACCGCAUGGUUCUAAAGUGAAAGAUGGUUUUGCUAUCACUUAUAGAUGGACCCGCGGCGUAUUAGCGAGUUGGUAAGGUAACGGCUUACCAAGGCGACGAUACGUAUCGGACCUGAGAGGGUUCUCCGCCACUGGGGCAGUGACACGCGCCACAGACCUCUACGGGGGGCAGCAGUGGAGUAUCGUACGAAAGGGGCGAACGUCAGCCGGCGCUACGGCGCGUGUGAGAUGAAGGGUUUCGGUGUGAAAACCUCUGUUAGUAGGGAAAAACAAAUGUGUAAGUAACUGUGCACGCUUAGACGACACAUAAUCAGAGAGCCACGGCUCACCAUG